rnacentral:rRNA from 1 species
UUGUGGGAGGGAGCUGUCGAAGGUGGGAUCGGCGAUUGGGACGAAGUCGUAACAAGGUAGCCGUACCGGAAGGUGCGGCUGGAUCACCUCCUUU